rnacentral:snRNA from 1 species
AAGCUCGUUUGAUUCUGA